CCAUUACUCUCUGGACCCAGUAUGACCCA
rnacentral:piRNA from 1 species